CCAUACUAGCUGGGGAAUUAGCGGUGCCCUGUAUCCACAACCCGCUCUAGUGGAAGUGAAUCUGAGCUUGAGGGGUAAUUUGGUGUGAAGCCUUUAAGUGUUGGUGUUGAGAUAAAAGUCCUAUAUUGCAAGAUGUUGGCGAACCGUGUCAGAUUGGGAACGAAGCAGCACUAAGUCGAAAGUUCUUGGGUUUAUGGGGUAGCUUUUUUUGAGCUAAUACUUGAAGAAGCGUGCAUUGAUUUAUUUCGAGAGUUCAGUGUAUGG
rnacentral:SRP_RNA from 1 species